rnacentral:rRNA from 1 species
AACGAACGCUGGCGGCAUGCCUAACACAUGCAAGUCGAACGAGACCUUCGGGUCUAGUGGCGCACGGGUGCGUAACGCGUGGGAAUCUGCCCUUUGCUUCGGAAUAACAGUUAGAAAUGACUGCUAAUACCGGAUGAUGUCUUCGGACCAAAGAUUUAUCGGCAAAGGAUGAGCCCGCGUAGGAUUAGGUAGUUGGUGGGGUAAAGGCCUACCAAGCCGACGAUCCUUAGCUGGUCUGAGAGGAUGAUCAGCCACACUGGGACUGAGACACGGCCCAGACUCCUACGGGAGGCAGCAGUGGGGAAUAUUGGACAAUGGGCGAAAGCCUGAUCCAGCAAUGCCGCGUGAGUGAUGAAGGCCUAGGGUUGUAAAGCUCUUUACCCGGGUAUGAUAAUGACAGUACCGGGAGAAUAAGCUCCGGCUAACUCCGUGCCAACAGCCGCGGUAAU